rnacentral:lncRNA from 1 species
UCACAUCGAAUAUUAGGAGGCUAAUUGGAGGACUAAAUAUGAGCUAAUUAUAAAAUUAAUUACACAGAUGGAGGCUAAUUCACGAGACGAAUCUAUUAAGCCUAAUUAAUCCAUCAUUAGCACAUGUUUACUGUAGCAUCAUAUUGUCAAAUCAUGAACUAAUUAGGCUUAAUAGAUUCGUCUCGCAAAUUAGUCUCCAUAUGUGCAAUUGGUUUUGUAAUCAGUCUAUAUUUAAUACUCCUAAUUAGUAUCUAAACAUUCGAUGUGAC